AACACCUUUGAUUUACAAAAAAACCCAUGACUGUGGACAAAGAUAUAAAAGACAGGUGUAAAAUAAAUCCUCUUCUUCAGUGCAGAACUCAUUGUUCAGUAUGUGUUCUCAUACAUAUAAGAAAGAAUAUG
ensembl:snoRNA